AUUGAACGCUGGCGGCAGGCCUAACACAUGCAAGUCGAGCGAGCGGCGGAAGGGUGAGUAAUGUCUGGGAAAAUGCCUGAUGGAGGGGGAUAACUACUGGAAACGGUAGCUAAUACCGCAUACCAUCAGAUGUGCCCAGAUGGGAUUAGCUAGAAGGUGGGGUAACGGCUCACCGAGGCGACGAUCCCUAGCUGGUCUGAGAGGAGUACCGGCCACACUGGAACUGAGACACGGUCCAUACUCCUACGUGAGGCAGCAGUGGGGAAUAUUGCACAAUGGGCGCAAGCCUGAUGCAGCCAUGCCGCGUGUGUGAAGAAGGCCUUAGGGUUGUAAAGCACUUUCAGCGGGGAGGCGUUACCCGCAGAAGAAGCACCGGCUAACUCCGUGCCAGCAGCCGCGGUAAUUC
rnacentral:rRNA from 1 species